rnacentral:rRNA from 1 species
GAUCAUGGCUCAGAUUGAACGCUGGCGGCAGGCCCAACACAUGCAAGUCGAACGGUAACAGGAAACAGCUUGCUGUUUCGCUGACGAGUGGCGGACGGGUGAGUAAUGUCUGGGAAACUGCCUGAUGGAGGGGGAUAACUACUGGAAACGGUAGCUAAUACCGCAUAACGUCGCAAGCCAAAGAGGGGGACCUUCGGGCCUCUUUGCCAUCGGAUGUGCCCAGAUGGGAUUAGCUAGUAGGG